rnacentral:rRNA from 1 species
UACAGAGGCCUCAAGCGUUGUUCGGAUUCAUUGGGCGUAAAGGGUGCGUAGGCGGCGUGGUAAGUCGGGUGUGAAAUCUCGGAGCUUAACUCCGAAACUGCAUUCGAUACUGCCGUGCUUGAGGACUGGAGAGGAGACUGGAAUUUACGGUGUAGCGGUGAAAUGCGUAGAUAUCGUAAGGAAGACCAGUGGCGAAGGCGGGUCUCUGGACAGUUCCUGACGCUGAGGCACGAAGGCCAGGGGAGCAAACGGG